rnacentral:rRNA from 1 species
AUACGUAGGUGACAAGCGUUAUCCGGAUUUACUGGGUGUAAAGGGCGUGUAGGCGGUUUAGCAAGUCAGAAGUAAAAUUCCCGGGCUUAACUUGGGCGCUGCUUCUGAAACUGCUUUACUUGAGUGCUGGAGAGGAUAGUGGAAUUCCUAGUGUAGCGGUAAAAUGCGCAGAUAUUAGGAGGAACACCAGUGGCGAAGGCGGCUUUCUGGACUGUUACUGACACUGAGGCUCGAAAGCGUGGGGAGCAAACAGGAUUAGAUACCCUGGUAGUCCACGCCCUAAACGAUGAAUGCUAGGUGUAGGGGAGUCAUCUUCUGUGCCGCAGCUAACGCAAUAAGCAUUCCACCUGGGGAGUACGGCCGCAAGGCUGAAACUCAAAUGAAUUGGCGGG